UUCUACACUUUCCUUCACUUCUCUCUCUAAAAAAAUCCUCUCACUUUCAGACACUUUCCCAUAUAACCCAUCUUCAAACGCAGAAAAUUUUCCCUUAAGAAGUGGAUUUCCUUACCCCAAAAACAUAUAGAUUCAUUUCUAAUCUCUCAAAUCUUCUUCACCAUUCAAUUGAAGAAACGGGUACAAAGAUUUUCCCCAGAAAAUCUGAUCCCUCUCUCUCUCUUCCUGAAUGCUCCAACUUAUCCUCAAAUAGAAAGUGGUUCUCUAACAACUGCCAAAAAAAAAAAGAACACUUUUCUUGGAAAUUCAGGAAAAGGGUUUGAAGAUUUUUUCGGGAAAGUGGAUUUCCUUACCCCAAAAACAUAUAGAUUCAUUUCUAAUCUCUCAAAUCUUCUUCACCAUUCAAUUGAAGAAACGGGUUCAAAGAUUUUCCCCAGAAAAUCUGAUCCCUCUCUCUCUCUUCCUGAAUGCUCUAAGUUAUCCUCAAAUAGAAAGUGGUUCUCUAACAACUGCAAAAAAAAGAAAGAAAAAAAAAACACUUUUCUUGGAAAUUCAGGAAAAGGGUUUGAAGAGUUUCUCGGGAAAGUGAUUUCCAGAUUUGAAUUUUAAGAAAAGGCUAUGUGGAACAACAACAAGAUUUUUCCGGCAAGGGGGUUAAACAUGUUCAGGAUGUCCACCAGUAUAAUUCGUUCACUGAAAUGUUGGGGCCAGAGAGUCUUGCAAAGGUUCUUCCUGGAGUUGAAACCCUUGAAGAAGCGACGACAAGGACUUGUCCAUUGACAUCAAUACGUUGCUUGACAUUCUUGGAGAAGAUCCUCAGCCUUCACAAUUACAG